rnacentral:tRNA from 1 species
GAGGGAGAAGCUAUUGUAAGCAUUUGGCUGUUAAUCAAAGAUAGCAUUUUUAAUGCCUUCCUUA